rnacentral:rRNA from 1 species
CCUACGGGAGGCUGCAGUGGGGAAUAUUGGACAAUGGGGGCAACCCUGAUCCAGCCAUGCCGCGUGUGUGAAGAAGGCCCUCGGGUUGUAAAGCACUUUCAGUGAGGAAGAACGCCUGGUGGUUAAUACCCAUCAGGAAAGACAUCACUCACAGAAGAAGCACCGGCUAACUCCGUGCCAGCAGCCGCGGUAAUACGGAGGGUGCGAGCGUUAAUCGGAAUUACUGGGCGUAAAGCGCGCGUAGGUGGCUUGAUAAGCCGGUUGUGAAAGCCCCGGGCUCAACCUGGGAACGGCAUCCGGAACUGUCAAGCUAGAGUGCAGGAGAGGAAGGUAGAAUUCCAGGUGUAGCGGUGAAAUGCGUAGAGAUCGGGAGGAAUACCAGUGGCGAAGGCGGCCUUCUGGACUGACACUGACACUGAGGUGCGAAAGCGUGGGUAGCAAACAGGAUUAGAUACCCUGGUAGUC